GAUCCGCUAGCUCAGCCGGUAGAGCACCUGACUUUUAAUCAGGGGGUCUGGGGUUCGAUCCCCCAGCGGAUCACCA
rnacentral:tRNA from 1 species